GAUGAACGCUGGCGGCGUGCCUAAUACAUGCAAGUAGAACGCUGAAGGAGGAGCUUGCUCUUCUGGAUGAGUUGCGAACGGGUGAGUAACGCGUAGGUAACCUGCCUGGUAGCGGGGGAUAACUAUUGGAAACGAUAGCUAAUACCGCAUGACAACAGUUAUUGCAUGAUAACUGUUUAAAAGGGGCAACUGCUCCACUACCAGAUGGACCUGCGUUGUAUUAGCUAGUUGGUGAGGUAACGGCUCACCAAGGCGACGAUACAUAGCCGACCUGAGAGGGUGAUCGGCCACACUGGGACUGAGACACGGCCCAGACUCCUACGGGAGGCAGCCGUAGGGAAUCUUCGGCAAUGGACGGAAGUCUGACCGAGCAACGCCGCGUGAGUGAAGAAGGUUUUCGGAUCGUAAAGCUCUGUUGUAAGAGAAGAACGAGUGUGAGAGUGGAAAGUUCACACUGUGACGGUAUCUUACCAGAAAGGGACGGCUAACUACGUG
rnacentral:rRNA from 1 species